rnacentral:piRNA from 1 species
GAUACCCUUUAGCUCUUUCCGAGGUCG